rnacentral:sRNA from 1 species
GAAUGCGUGCUUGCACGCCAAUGGGUGAAAGCUUCUGACAACCUAACAAAAAUGAGCAACAAAGGCCCGGAAGCCCAAAGGGCAACGGGCCGGGUUGCGAAUUUUUGCAGCGCCGCGAGAGUGCGAAGCACGAAGCGACGCGUAUUA